rnacentral:tRNA from 1 species
AUGGGUGGGGCUCAGUGGUAAAGUGCCUGCCUAGCCUGCUCAAAGCCCUGGGUUCCAACCCCAGCACUCAGA